rnacentral:rRNA from 2 species
GAUUCGUCACACUAUCAUUAACUGAAUCCAUAGGUUAAUGAGGCGAACCGGGGGAACUGAAACAUCUAAGUACCCCGAGGAAAAGAAAUCAACCGAGAUUCCCCCAGUAGCGGCGAGCGAACGGGGAGGAGCCCAGAGCCUGAAUCAGCAUGUGUGUUAGUGGAAGCGUCUGGAAAGGCGCGCGAUACAGGGUGACAGCCCCGUACACAAAAGCGCAUGUGCUGUGAGCUCGAUGAGUAGGGCGGGACACGUGGUAUCCUGUCUGAAUAUGGGGGGACCAUCCUCCAAGGCUAAAUACUCCUGACUGACCGAUAGUGAACCAGUACCGUGAGGGAAAGGCGAAAAGAACCCCGGCGAGGGGAGUGAAAAAGAACCUGAAACCGUGUACGUACAAGCAGUGGGAGCACCCUUCGGGGUGUGACUGCGUACCUUUUGUAUAAUGGGUCAGCGACUUAUAUUCUGUAGCAAGGUUAACCGUAUAGGGGAGCCGGAGGGAAACCGAGUCUUAAUUGGGCGUUAAGUUGCAGGGUAUAGACCCGAAACCCGGUGAUCUAGCCAUGGGCAGGUUGAAGGUUGGGUAACACUAACUGGAGGACCGAACCGACUAAUGUUGAAAAAUUAGCGGAUGACCUGUGGCUGGGGGUGAAAGGCCAAUCAAACCGGGAGAUAGCUGGUUCUCCCCGAAAGCUAUUUAGGUAGCGCCUCGUGAAUUCAUCUCCGGGGGUAGAGCACUGUUUCGGCUAGGGGGCCAUCCCGGCUUACCAACCCGAUGCAAACUGCGAAUACCGGAGAAUGUUAUCACGGGAGACACACGGCGGGUGCUAACGUCCGUCGUGAAGAGGGAAACAACCCAGACCGCCAGCUAAGGUCCCAAAGUCAUGGUUAAGUGGGAAACGAUGUGGGAAGGCCCAGACAGCCAGGAUGUUGGCUUAGAAGCAGCCAUCAUUUAAAGAAAGCGUAAUAGCUCACUGGUCGAGUCGGCCUGCGCGGAAGAUGUAACGGGGCUAAACCAUGCACCGAAGCUGCGGCAGCGAACGUAUCACCCAAGACAACUUUACGGAGUUGACGAUUGACGGAGCGAAGCGACGUCAAAGCGUUCAUUAAAGUCGAGUUGGCUUAGGGAUACGUUCGUUGGGUAGGGGAGCGUUCUGUAAGCCUGUGAAGGUGUGUCGUGAGGCAUGCUGGAGGUAUCAGAAGUGCGAAUGCUGACAUAAGUAACGAUAAAGCGGGUGAAAAGCCCGCUCGCCGGAAGACCAAGGGUUCCUGUCCAACGUUAAUCGGGGCAGGGUGAGUCGACCCCUAAGGCGAGGCCGAAAGGCGUAGUCGAUGGGAAACGGGUUAAUAUUCCCGUACUUGGUGUUACUGCGAAGGGGGGACGGAGAAGGCUAUGUUGGCCGGGCGACGGUUGUCCCGGUUUAAGCGUGUAGGUGUGUGUUCCAGGUAAAUCCGGUUCACUUUAACACUGAGGCGUGACGACGAGGCACUACGGUGCUGAAGCAACAAAUGCCCUGCUUCCAGGAAAAGCCUCUAAGCAUCAGGUAACACGAAAUCGUACCCCAAACCGACACAGGUGGUCAGGUAGAGAAUACCAAGGCGCUUGAGAGAACUCGGGUGAAGGAACUAGGCAAAAUGGUGCCGUAACUUCGGGAGAAGGCACGCUGACACGUAGGUGAAGUGAUUUACUCAUGGAGCUGAAGUCAGUCGAAGAUACCAGCUGGCUGCAACUGUUUAUUAAAAACACAGCACUGUGCAAACACGAAAGUGGACGUAUACGGUGUGACGCCUGCCCGGUGCCGGAAGGUUAAUUGAUGGGGUCAGCGCAAGCGAAGCUCCUGAUCGAAGCCCCGGUAAACGGCGGCCGUAACUAUAACGGUCCUAAGGUAGCGAAAUUCCUUGUCGGGUAAGUUCCGACCUGCACGAAUGGCGUAAUGAUGGCCAGGCUGUCUCCACCCGAGACUCAGUGAAAUUGAACUCGCUGUGAAGAUGCAGUGUACCCGCGGCAAGACGGAAAGACCCCGUGAACCUUUACUAUAGCUUGACACUGAACAUUGAGCCUUGAUGUGUAGGAUAGGUGGGAGGCUUUGAAGUGUGGACGCCAGUCUGCAUGGAGCCGACCUUGAAAUACCACCCUUUAAUGUUUGAUGUUCUAACGUGGACCCGUAAUCCGGGUUGCGGACAGUGUCUGGUGGGUAGUUUGACUGGGGCGGUCUCCUCCUAAAGAGUAACGGAGGAGCACGAAGGUUGGCUAAUCCUGGUCGGACAUCAGGAGGUUAGUGCAAUGGCAUAAGCCAGCUUGACUGCGAGCGUGACGGCGCGAGCAGGUGCGAAAGCAGGUCAUAGUGAUCCGGUGGUUCUGAAUGGAAGGGCCAUCGCUCAACGGAUAAAAGGUACUCCGGGGAUAACAGGCUGAUACCGCCCAAGAGUUCAUAUCGACGGCGGUGUUUGGCACCUCGAUGUCGGCUCAUCACAUCCUGGGGCUGAAGUAGGUCCCAAGGGUAUGGCUGUUCGCCAUUUAAAGUGGUACGCGAGCUGGGUUUAGAACGUCGUGAGACAGUUCGGUCCCUAUCUGCCGUGGGCGCUGGAGAACUGAGGGGGGCUGCUCCUAGUACGAGAGGACCGGAGUGGACGCAUCACUGGUGUUCGGGUUGUCAUGCCAAUGGCACUGCCCGGUAGCUAAAUGCGGAAGAGAUAAGUGCUGAAAGCAUCUAAGCACGAAACUUGCCCCGAGAUGAGUUCUCCCUGAGACUUAGAGUCUCCUGAAGGAACGUUGAAGACGACGACGUUGAUAGGCCGGGUGUGUAAGCGCAGCGAUGCGUUGAGCUAACCGGUACUAAUGAACCGUGAGGCUUAACCUUACAACGCCGAAG